rnacentral:tRNA from 1 species
GCCGGAGUGGCGGAAUGGCAGACGCGACGGACUCAAAAUCCGUUGGCCGCAAGGCCAUGAGAGUUCGACUCUCUCCUCCGGCACCA